UACGUAGGGGGCAAGCGUUAUCCGGAUUUACUGGGUGUAAAGGGAGCGUAGACGGCAGCGCAAGUCUGGAGUGAAAUGCCGGGGCCCAACCCCGGAACUGCUCUGGAAACUGUGAAGCUGGAGUGCAGGAGAGGUAAGCGGAAUUCCUGGUGUAGCGGUGAAAUGCGUAGAUAUCAGGAGGAACACCGGCGGCGAAGGCGGCUUACUGGACUGUAACUGACGUUGAGGCUCGAAGGCGUGGGGAGCAAACAGG
rnacentral:rRNA from 1 species